rnacentral:rRNA from 1 species
CAAGUGUAGCGGUAGAAAUGCGUAGAGAGUUUGGAGGAACACCAGUGGCGAAGGCGGCUUUCUGGUCUGUAACUGACGCUGAGGCGACGAAAGCGUGGGGAGACAAACAGGAUUAGACUACCCUGGUAGUCCACGCGUAAACGAUGAGUGCUAAGUGUUAGGGGGUUUCCGCCCCUUAGUGCUGCAGCUAACGCAUUAAGCACUCCGCCUGGGGAGUACGGCCGCAAAGGCUGA